rnacentral:misc_RNA from 1 species
GAUGAAGAACGUAGUGAAAUGCGAUAAGUAAUGUGAAUUGCAGAAUUCAGUGAAUCAUCGAAUCUUUGAACGCACAUUGCGCCCCCUGGCAUUCCGGGGGGCAUGCCUGUCCGAGCGUCAUUUCUGCCCUCCAGCCCGGCUGGGUGUUGGGCGCUGUCCCCCCGGGGACACGCCCCAAAGGCAGUGGCGGCGCCGCGUCGGGUCCUCGAGCGUAUGGGGCUUUGUCACCCGCUCGGGACGGACUCGUCGGCGCUGGUCUUCCUCCAGGCGACCCUUCGGGGCUCGUCUUCCUUCGGUUGACCUCGGAUCAGGUAGGGUUACCCGCUGAACUUAAGCAUAUCAAUAAGCGGAGGA